rnacentral:rRNA from 1 species
GACGAACGCUGGCGGCGUGCUUAACACACGCAAGUCGAGCGAGACCCCGCUUUCGGGUGGGUGUUCUAGCGGCGAACGGGUGAGUAACACGUGGGCAACCUGCCCUCAGCUCUGGGAUAACUCCAAGCAAUUGGGGCUAAUACCGGAUAUGACCGCUUACCGCAUGGUCUGGCGGUGGAAAGAUUUAUCGGCUGGGGAUGGGCCCGCGGCCUAUCAGCUUGUUGGUGGGGUAGUGGCCUACCAAGGCGACGACGGGUAGCCGGCCUGAGAGGGUGACCGGCCACACUGGGACUGAGACACGGCCCAGACUCCUACGGGAGGCAGCAGUGGGGAAUAUUGCGCAAUGGGCGAGAGCCUGACGCAGCGACGCCGCGUGGGGGAUGACGGCCUUCGGGUUGUAAACCUCUUUCAGCAGGGACGAAGCGAAAGUGACGGUACCUGCAGAAGAAGCACCGGCCAACUACGUGCCAGCCGCCGCCGUAA